UACCCUAUCGACAAAGUGUUCAUCGAUGGAUGAAUUUUUUGAAAAGGGGGUGAAAAUUUUGCUCGAAUCACCCUAAAAUGAGAGUGUGUGCGUGGCUCGCUGUAUCGCGAUAGAGUUCGGCGUGUGUCGAAUGAAUGUUCAAAAAGGUCGUAGUAGGCUAAAAACCUGUCUUUCUGUUUUCGCUCGGUCGCUGUACAUUUUCAUACGGGAAUAGUUAGUGAAUUGUGUAUUGCGCCAGUUCGUGGACUGUGUAUUCGAUUGUGAAAUAGUGUUGUCCAAGUUGUUCCACUUCUAGUUCUAAAAGGAUGUUCCUGUGACGGCACUGGUAAGUUGUACCGCCAGCGUGAUAACCUGUUGGAGCAGACUUCGGCUGAAUACGACGAUGCAGAGGCAGGACAAACUGUUUCAAGACAUUUAAAAAGCGACGCGUGGGGACAUAUGGCCACAGUUAACAGUUAACCUCAUAUCUAGAGGUUUGGUGUACACAAAUCAGGAAGCAGGAAGGAUCUGGAAGCAGGAUGCAAGUGCCGUAGUGUAAAAUACUUCGUCAAAAAAGCGCGUGUUUUCUAACAACUGUGCCCACGCGUCCCUUGGCCUACAGCUUUAAAGGUAGGCUACCGUGUACAAUCAAUGUCAUGGCGUCUAACGCAAUCGGUUGAACAUUCUGUAUCCUUUUCCUCUUGCAGCUAACUUUCAUACUUCUUGUUGGUCGCCCUCGGAUAGAGCGUAUGAAUUGACGGCCACAUCUUUUUCGCAUCAUUUGAAAGGAACAAAUUAUUGGACAUGCUCGUGAUUAUUCAGUUCUAUGAUGCACCUGCCAAUGGAAGUGAAAGACAAGCCAACCUUAGUAUUGGUUGUUUUUGCUGCUGAUCGGUUCUAAAUCGGAUACUGGAAACCGCUGCUGUUAGUGCUCUGCAUUGGAUUUUUUCUUCGCUUUGCUCACAGUGCGUGACCUUGGUUUGUUGUGGCAAUCUAUCAGUCAAUUAACAGUCCCUUCAGGUAAGUAUUGUCCAUUCUUAUGGACGAUUGUUGUAUUGUUUUACGUAUGUAUAUCUAAUGAAGCAUACUUUUUCAGCAAAACAAGUUCGAUCCUCCGUAUACAUCUGAUUUCCGUAAGAAUUACGCCUCAAAUUCGAAGGAGACAAUGUUCUAUCGCCACCUAGCGCCUCUACAAAUCGCGACUGAUACGCCUUGCCGUUGAACAUCCGUCCAAGAUAACAUAAUGCGAUCAGGUCGAAUCAUAAAUUAAUUCAAGAGUCUCCAUUCGAUACGAGAUUAUUAUUGGUUGGAACCUUAUUUUUCGCCGUUUGUUAUACGUAAGUAUGUCUAAAUAAAACGUUUGUUAAUACUUAACUAACAUACGUAUUUUUAUCUCUUCCAUAUCGGUCUUAGAUUCCAUUUGCAGAUACAAAAUGGAGUGAAAGAUGCAAAAAAUCGCGUGUUAAUGCGGUCAAAAUUAAAUCGAGAUCGCACACGAUACCAAACUCAAAGGCACGAUGGAGUUUGUUUCGAAACACGCUGAAAGGUCCAUUGAAUUUUCGCCUGGACCGAUUUGAUUGAUACAGGAUAUGAAUAUCUUCAAAACUUGAUCUUGGAAAGGGGAAAAUGUCCACGUUUAUGAUUUGUUUACGCUGCACCGAUCGAAAUUGGCCGCGGGAUUAUGAAAACGGUAACAAAUCGUGGGCAGAAUAAUGUGGACCAGGAUUAGAAACCCAUGGCUAAGCUGGCGCAGAAUGCGAGCGUUGAAAAUUGUACGCUGUCUGGAUGGAUGCUGGAUUUUUUCAGGGGUAUGGUCUAAAACUAUGUAGAUAAUAAGAAUAGAAAAAAGGUAUGAUAUUGAUAUUGUUAUGGUUCUAAAACAGUACAUGUUAAUUGUUAUCUUUUUAUGCUUGCCAUUAAACCAGGAAAAUUAAAAAAAUAAUAUAACAUUUGUUAAAAACAAAAAAUGUUUUCAUUACUCCGUUGAAAAUCAACGGUGCGGAAAGAACGAUUGAAAAUGAACGUUACAGCGUAAAAAUGAACCUUACGAAAACGCGCUCAUGAAAUCAUGAAUCUCACGCACACACUCUCAAAAAACGGCUUCACAAGAUCUGCUGUGAAGCUUUUGUGAAGCCGCUUGUGAAGCCGUGAAUUUUACUCGAAAUUCACUCUCAGGCGAGCAGUUUGUCGAUAGGGUAUG